rnacentral:rRNA from 1 species
AGCCGUAAACUAUGCGCGUUAGGUGUAUCGGUGACCACGAGUCACCGAGGUGCCGAAGGGAAACCGUGAAACGUGCCGCCUGGGAAGUACGGUCGCAAGGCUGAAACUUAAAGGAAUUGGCGGGGGAGCACCACAACAGGUGGAGCCUGCGGUUUAAUUGGACUCAACGCCGGGAAGCUCACCGGAUAGGACAGCAGAAUGAUUGCCGGGCUGAAGACCCUGCAUGACUAGCUGAGAGGAGGUGCAUGGCGUAGACGUCU